rnacentral:piRNA from 1 species
UGGCAGUUGGACUCAACGUCAAUUCCACGAAU